GAUGAACGCUGGCGGCGUGCUUAACACAUGCAAGUCGAACGAUGAAGCCCAGCUUGCUGGGUGGAUUAGUGGCGAACGGGUGAGUAACACGUGAGUAACCUGCCCUUAACUCUGGGAUAAGCCUGGGAAACUGGGUCUAAUACCGGAUAGGAGCGUCCACCGCAUGGUGGGUGUUGGAAAGAUUUAUCGGUUUUGGAUGGACUCGCGGCCUAUCAGCUUGUUGGUGAGGUAAUGCUCACCAAGGCGACGACGGGUAGCCGGCCUGAGAGGGUGACCGGCCACACUGGGACUGAGACACGGCCCAGACUCCUACGGGAGGCAGCAGUGGGGAAUAUUGCACAAUGGGCGCAAGCCUGAUGCAGCGACGCCGCGUGAGGGAUGACGGCCUUCGGGUUGUAAACCUCUUUCAGUAGGGAAGAAGCGAAAGUGACGGUACCUGCAGAAGAAGCACCGGCUAACUACGUG
rnacentral:rRNA from 1 species